GCCCCGGUACGCCAACCGGUAGAGCGGGCGGUCUCAAAAACCGUACAGUGUGGGUUCGAAUCCCACCCGGGGCA
rnacentral:tRNA from 1 species